rnacentral:rRNA from 1 species
UGGGGAAUAUUGCACAAUGGGCGCAAGCCUGAUGCAGCAACGCCGCGUGAACGAUGAAGGUCUUCGGAUCGUAAAGUUCUGUUGCAGGGGAAGAUAAUGACGGUACCCUGUGAGGAAGCCCCGGCUAACUACGUGCCAGCAGCCGCGGUAAUACGUAGGGGGCUAGCGUUAUCCGGAUUACUGGGCGUAAAGGGUGCGUAGGUGGUCCUUCAAGUCGGUGGUUAAAGGCUACGGCUCAACCGUAGUAAGCCGCCGAAACUGGAGGACUUGAGUGCAGGAGAGGAAAGUGGAAUUCCCAGUGUAGCGGUGAAAUGCGUAGAUAUUGGGAGGAACACCAGUAGCGAAGGCGGCUUUCUGGACUGCAACUGACACUGAGGCACGAAAGCGUGGGUAGCAAACAGG